rnacentral:rRNA from 1 species
UACAGAGGGGGCAAGCGUUGUUCGGAAUUAUUGGGCGUAAAGCGUCCGCAGGUGGACAUACAAGUCUGCUGUCAAAGUGCAGAGCUUAACUCUGUAAAGGCGGUGGAAACUGUAGGUCUUGAGUAUGGUAGGGGUAGAGGGAAUUCCCGGUGUAGCGGUGAAAUGCGUAGAUAUCGGGAAGAACACCAGUGGCGAAAGCGCUCUACUGGGCCAUAACUGACACUGAGGGACGAAAGCUAGGGGAGCGAAAGGG